rnacentral:rRNA from 1 species
UACGUAGGGGGCGAGCGUUGUCCGGAAUCAUUGGGCGUAAAGAGCGUGUAGGCGGUCCGGUAAGUCAGCUGUGAAAGUCAAGGGCUCAACCCUUGAAAUGCCGGUUGAUACUGUCGGGCUAGAGUCCGGAAGAGGCGAGUGGAAUUCCCGGUGUAGCGGUGAAAAUGCGCAGAUAUCGGGAGGAACACCAAUGGCGAAGGCAAGCUCGCUGGGACGGUACUGACG